GACGAACGCUGGCGGCGUGCUUAACACAUGCAAGUCGAACGGAAAGGCCCUGCUUUUGUGGGGUGCUCGAGUGGCGAACGGGUGAGUAACACGUGAGUAACCUGCCCUUGACUUUGGGAUAACUUCAGGAAACUGGGGCUAAUACCGGAUAGGAGCUCCUGCUGCAUGGUGGGGGUUGGAAAGUUUCGGCGGUUGGGGAUGGACUCGCGGCUUAUCAGCUUGUUGGUGGGGUAGUGGCUUACCAAGGCUUUGACGGGUAGCCGGCCUGAGAGGGUGACCGGCCACAUUGGGACUGAGAUACAGCCCAGACUCCUACGGGGGGCAGCAGUGGGGAAUAUUGCACAAUGGGCGGAAGCCUGAUGCAGCAACGCCGCGUGCGGGAUGACGGCCUUCGGGUUGUAAACCGCUUUCGCCUGUGACGAAGCGUGAGUGACGGUAAUGGGUAAAGAAGCACCGGCUAACUACGUG
rnacentral:rRNA from 1 species